rnacentral:rRNA from 1 species
UGGGGAAUAUUGCGCAAUGGGCGAAAGCCUGACGCAGCAACGCCGCGUGAGUGAUGAAGGCCUUCGGGCCGUAAAGCUCUGUCGGAGGGAACGAAUGCUCCUGAAGUUAACAGCCUCAGGAGGUGACGGUACCCUCAAAGGAAGCACCGGCUAACUCUGUGCCAGCAGCCGCGGUAAUACAGAGGGUGCAAGCGUUGUUCGGAAUCAUUGGGCGUAAAGGGCGUGUAGGCGGUAUGUUAAGUCAUGUGUGAAAUCCCUCGGCUCAACCGGGGAAUUGCAUUUGAGACUGCACGGCUAGAGUGUGUCAGAGGGGGGUAGAAUUCCACGUGUAGCAGUGAAAUGCGUAGAUAUGUGGAGGAAUACCGAUGGCGAAGGCAGCCCCCUGGGAUAACACUGACGCUCAUGCACGAAAGCGUGGGGAGCAAACAGGAUUAGAUACCCAGGUAGUCCCUGAGCGGGCUGGCAAGGCGCAU